AGAGUUUGAUCAUGGCUCAGGAUAAACGCUGGCGGCGUGCCUAAUGCAUGCAAGUCGAACGGGCGUCCUUUCGGGGACGUGACCGUGGCGGACGGGUGAGGAGCACGUAGCUGACCUGCCCUGGUGUGGGGGAUAUCCGCGGGAAACCGCGUGUAAUACCGCAUGUGCUCAUCUGGAGGGAUCUGGAUGAGGAAAGCCGAGAGGCGUACCAGGAGGGGGCUGCGUCCGAUUAGCUAGUUGGUGGGGUAACGGCUUACCAAGGCGAUGAUCGGUAGCUGGUCUGAGAGGACGAUCAGCCACACGGGGACUGAGACACGGCCCCGACUCCUACGGGAGGCAGCAGCAAGGAAUUUUCCACAAUGGGCGCAAGCCUGAUGGAGCAACGCCGCGUGGGGGAUGACGCACUUCGGUGUGUAAACCCCUUUUCGAGGGGACGAAGACAAUGACGGUACCCUCGGAAUAAGGAUCGGCUAACUACGUGCCAGCAGCCGCGGUAAGACGUAGGAUCCGAGCGUUGUCCGGAGUUACUGGGCGUAAAGCGCGCGCAGGCGGACACGCGCAUCGGCGGUGAAAGCCCCCCGCUCAACGGGGGAGGGUCCGUCGAGAUGGCGUGUCUGGAGGCAGGGAGAGGCCAGUGGAAUUCCGGGUGUAGUGGUGAAAUGCGUAGAGAUCCGGAGGAACACCAGUGGCGAAGGCGGCUGGCUGGACCUGACCUGACGCUGAGGCGCGAAGGCGUGGGGAGCGAACGGGAUUAGAUACCCCAGUAGUCC
rnacentral:rRNA from 1 species